ensembl:ribozyme RNaseP_nuc Nuclear RNase P
GGCGGAGGGAAGCUCAUCGUUGGGGCUACAAGCUGAGUGCGUCACGUCACUCCCCAGCCCAGCCCUUGGGAAGGUCUGAGACGAGGGCCAAUAGCGGCCCUAGCAGGGCUCCUCCCGCGAUUGUGGGGGGGUGAGUUCCCAGAAAAUGGGGCCCGGUUUGGGGGUAAGACUGGGCAGGAGAAGCCCAUGCGUACCACACCCCCGGGUGUGGCCUGGGCGGAUGCCUCCCUCGACCGGGCUUGGAAACGACUCACGGCCAGCGAAGUGAGUGCAAUGGCUGAGGUGGGUUACCUCCUCGAGGAUCCCAUAACCCAAUUCAGACUACUCUCCCCCGCC